GUGCGGGGAGGGGGUCACGUUCAUGGAGACGCCCCAUGCCUCUGGCUUUCUUUUUUGCUGCCGGGAACGGGAAGUGGUAAGGGACAAAAGAUUUUAGAGGGUCUAAGAAGCCGGUGACGAGGCCAUAGACGGGAUUUGAAAUACAGUGAGGUCACGGAGAGGUGAGAGGUUAUCUCAAUUCUGCGAAUUACUCUGGCUCUGUGACCCAGCGGUCCCCCAGACGCAGGUUUCCACGGUGCUGUCCAGCCAGCGGACAGGCUGGCAUGUGGGUGCCUGCCGUGAGCCAGGCACUGGUCUGGGGAGUCGACAAUAGUGAUCUCGUUAAUCCAGGAGCCCUGUGAGCAGAAAAUCGUGUUUUCCCCAGUCUACAGAGGAAGUAAAGAAAAUCGGCUAAGGUCACCCAGGCACCGCUACCGGUGCGCUCCCAGGCCAUCAACAAACAGGAAGGGCAGGUUUCGUGAGUGAAGGCAAAUCCACGUUCGGUCAGAGCAAGGCUGGCACGCCAGACGCCACAGGACAGGACACCAGAAGGGCAGACCAGCUGGAAGACUGAUCGAGCCAUUUCCUUCGCCGCGUUUCAGCGCCAGCUCUGCAGGGCAGCGACUCUCCACCCGUGCGCCCCGAGAAUCUUCACAACACGCAGUACCUGACUGUUUAGUCAGGGGCACUGACCUCUUUUCCCUCACACUGUCAAAUUUUUUUAAAAAAAUUACAACAGCCAACACAACAAUGGCCACCAAGGGUGAUUGAAUCAAAAUUGUACCUUUUACCUUUUUUUUUUUGCUAGAUUGGCAAAAAUAUAUAAUACUUUUUUGGUAUGCCACAGAUUCUUAGUAAUUAGUUUGUGUGUGCCAUGAGAUGAAAAAAAGGUUGAAGAUCGCUGCUUUGGGGCCUUUGCUUUUGCUCUGUACCCAAGGCUGUCACUGUGAGGCACUCGGCUAGUGGAAAUGAAGGUGCUGGGAAGGUGGACAGCUCCGUUUCAUUUAAUGCCAUUCUCACCCCCCUGCUCUGUGGCGCAGGGUCCCUCCGGACGCCACCGUGUGACGUUGCCCGAAGUGGCUUCUUGGGGAGUCCAGAAGUGGACUCCCAACAGAGCACCCAGAGGGGCCCGACGCGGUCAGACCCUCGCUUCAGACUGUUCCUGCCUCAUCGCUCCGGGUGCUCUGAGACACACAGCCUGUUUAUAACACGUUCUGACGUCUCCGGAAGUCCAUUUGAUCUCGUUUUCUCUCAGUGCGACCCAGAGUCCUAAAUAACAUAGUCGGGUUACCAUACAUCGGUCUUCAGUCCCUCUUGUUUUCCUGUAGAGCCUCACUUUUGAAUAGUCCAAAAAUAAUCUUUUACAAACUA